rnacentral:rRNA from 1 species
CAGGAUGAACGCUAGCUACAGGCUUAACACAUGCAAGUCGAGGGGCAGCACGGGGGUAGCAAUACUCUGGGUGGCGACCGGCGCACGGGUGCGUAACGCGUAUCCAACCUUCCCAUUACUCUUGGAUAGCCUUCCGAAAGGGAGAUUAAUACAGGAUGGUAUCUGAAUUCCGCAUGUUGAUCAGAUUAAAGAUUUAUCGGUAAUGGAUGGGGAUGCGUGACAUUAGGUAGAUGGCGGGGUAACGGCCCACCAUGCCUACGAUGUCUAGGGGUUCUGAGAGGAAGGUCCCCCACACUGGAACUGAGACACGGUCCAGACUCCUACGGGAGGCAGCAGUGAGGAAUAUUGGUCAAUGGUCGGAAGACUGAACCAGCCAAGUAGCGUGAAGGAUGAAGGUUCUAUGGAUUGUAAACUUCUUUUAUACGGGAAUAAAACACGCCACGUGUGGCGUCUUGUAUGUACCGUAUGAAUAAGCAUCGGCUAACUCCGUGCCAGCAGCCGCGGUAAUACGGAGGAUGCGAGCGUUAUCCGGAUUUAUUGGGUUUAAAGGGUGCGUAGGCGGAAGAUUAAGUCAGUGGUCAAAUCGUGAGGCUCAACCUCAUCCAGCCAUUGAAACUGGUUUUCUUGAGUGGAAGAGAAGUAUGCGGAAUGCGUGGUGUAGCGGUGAAAUGCAUAGAUAUCACGCAGAACUCCGAUUGCGAAGGCAGCAUACCGGCUUCCAACUGACGCUGAAGCACGAAAGCGUGGGUAUCGAACAGGAUUAGAUACCCUGGUAGUCCACGCAGUAAACGAUGAAUACUAAUUGUUCGGCCCGAUUGGGGGCUGAGUAAUACAGCGAAAGCGUUAAGUAUUCCACCUGGGGAGUACGCCGGCAACGGUGAAACUCAAAGGAAUUGACGGGGGCCCGCACAAGCGGAGGAACAUGUGGUUUAAUUCGAUGAUACGCGAGGAACCUUACCCGGGCUCAAACGACAGGGGAAUUAUCUGGAAACAGAUAAGCUAGCAAUAGCCGCUGUCGAGGUGCUGCAUGGUUGUCGUCAGCUCGUGCCGUGAGGUGUCGGCUUAAGUGCCAUAACGAGCGCAACCCCUAUCGAUAGUUGCCAGCAGGUCAAGCUGGGGACUCUAUCGAGACUGCCGGCGCAAGCUGUGAGGAAGGCGGGGAUGACGUCAAAUCAGCACGGCCCUUACGUCCGGGGCGACACACGUGUUACAAUGGUAGGUACAGCGGGAAGCCAUAUGGCGACAUAGAGCAGAACCCGAAAACCUAUCUCAGUUCGGAUUGGAGUCUGCAACUCGACUCCAUGAAGCUGGAUUCGCUAGUAAUCGCGCAUCAGCCACGGCGCGGUGAAUACGUUCCCGGGCCUUGCACUCACCGCCCGUCA